rfam:Gossypium raimondii Chr01_contig_838, whole genome shotgun sequence.
AAUCCAUGCAUCAGACAUUUCUGAAUUAAAUCUUUAAAUCGUUUGCAAGCUUUAUAUAACGUUUCAUCCUCCAAUUGUCGAAAAUAUGUAAUGUCAUUUCUAAGCUU